GGAUAAAAGUAGGAUCAAAUUUAUGUCCCCGUCUUUGUUAUUUUAGCGAGUGAUCAAAUAAAAUAGCUACAGUAGGUGAACAUGGUCUCUGACUGAGCCCAAUUUUAGUGUGCUAAAUUCCAGAGAACAAAAAAAAGUUAAAAUAGCUAACCAUUAAGCACAUGCACUUGUCUCCCAUGCAUAGUUAUCUUAAUCGGACCGGAUAUUAAAUCGGUUAAGGCUCCGAUUCAACGGUUUACUGGUUCAACCAUAGUUCAACCGGUCUUAUAAUUAAUAAAUAAUAAUAAAAUAUUUUUAUUAUAAAUAAUAAAAAUAAAAAACUUUUUUUUACUCCUUUAACUACUAUGUAGGUGUUUGAAAAUUGAUUAUUGAAAACAUAUUUAAAAGUAUCAAAGUAAUAAUUUUUAUGUACAUUUCACAUAAUUUAAUGUGGUUUCAAAUAUUUUUUUACACUUUUUAGAUUUUGAUUUAGAUUUUUUUGUUGACAAAUUGCUUAUAAUUUUAAUCAAACAUAAGUUGAGAGAUAUUCACUGAGGCAAUAUUCGAUUUUUUUUGAAGGAAAGGAUAGUGAAAUUAGAAAUAUAGGAAAAACAAAUGAAGUGAAAGAGGGUAAUUUUAUUUCUAAAUUUUAAGAAAAUUAGAAAGAAAAUACUAUAUAUGUCCAAAAAAGAAAUACGAUAUGCUUGUCAAAAAAUAAAAUAUUUUUGUAAACGGAGAAAAAAUAGUAUAGAAUAAUUUUAUUUUAAAUUAAUUUUUUUCUUUCCUUGACUAAUUUAAGAUUCUCCAAUGUAGCAUUAAAAAGAAACAAAAAAAAAAAAUCACUUGAAAAACAAUAAUGAAUUCCAUGAAGUGACUGCAGCCGCCAACCACGUGCACCUUGUCAAUGGUCUUUUUCUUUUGUGAAAACUUAUCUACCUCAGGGGUCCCACUUCUGUUCCACCAAAUCCAAUCUAAUAAAUUUGGAACUGUACCGUCCGUUUUUUUUUGGUUUUUCCUGAUAAAAAACAGCCGACUUGAUAAAAAAACAGUUCGGUUUUUUCGGUUCAAUACUAUUCGCUUGCAUUUUUGAUAAAAUAUGUAUAACGAACCAGUUAAAUAGCCGAUUUUCGAUUGAACUGAACGAAUCGAUCCGGUUCUAUAACUAUGCUCUCAUGUCCCCUUUCUCUCGCACGUUGUGAUUUUUUUUAAAAACUUUUGUCUUUCACCCCUGACACAACCACAUGCAUUUGUUGCUCUUCUCUCUCUCUCUUUCUCAAGUUGUGAUUAUUUUAAAAUUUUAUCAUCAACCCUGAUAUUGGCUAUGUUUGGUAUCAGUUUUUUUUUUAAUUUUUUUUUAAAUAAAUAAAAAAAUUAAUAAAAAUUAACUUUUUUACUUUUUUAUUUUAAAUUUUUUGCUUAGUUUUAACUAAAGAUGAAUCAAAAAAAUUAAAAAGUCACAAAAUUUUGACUUUUUUGGUAGAAAGCUUAAAAAAAUUUAAUUUUUAAACAUUACCAAACGGAGUUACUAGCACACGCAUUUUGCAGUUUUUUACGCAUUCUAUGUUAGGUGUACGUAUCUUUAGAAUAAAACGGUCUUUUUUAAAAUAAAAAAUAUCGAACAAGGCGAAUGAGGGUAAAUAUAGAAAACAAAAAGUUAAAAGUAACUAUUUGGGAGUUUUUAACGUCAGUAAGUACUGAGGCAUACAAUAUCGACUGUAUUAAUUAUACAACUUAAAUACAUAAAAUAAGAGAGAAAAAAAAUUUGAAGUCAUCCAAUCACAACUAAUUUGUAUUAUAUGUUUAUUUUAAAAUAUUUGUAUAAAGUAGUACCCCAUAUAGAUAUAAUUUAGAUUGUCUUAAAGUAAAUGGUUUUUAACCAUGUUGUUGUAUUAACAUAUAAAUAUGUAUAGAUACAUACAUAUAUAUAUACACACAUAGAAUUAGUGGAGCUUUUAAAAUUUUAUUUAGUUUCUCUUAUUAUUCUAGCUCGUAUUUAGAAUUUUCAAAUAAUUUAGUAUUUUUAUUAAAUUUAAAAUAUUAAAAUAUUAAAUACUUGCUCCCAAUCCCAACACUUCGAGGCUUACCGAUUGGUAGUGGUGGGGUACGGCGGAGAUGGCUAUGGGAGUUGGAGGUGGAGAGAGAGACACAAAUAUAUAAUUUUUUUAUUUGUUACUUUAUGCGUGAACGUGUUGGGGAUUUAUUAGUCAUUUCACUUCACUUGCUUUUUUAAAUCUGUGAAGUGGUAAGGAGAAUUUGUAAUUUCCAAAAUUACGAGAAUUAGACUGUAUUUUACUAAAUCUCAUGGUGAUAUUUGUAAUUUAACGUGAUAGAGUGAGUGGGGCUAGAUUGGUAAUUAUAACGAGAAAAUGACGAGGAAGGUGGAUAGAAAUGCGGAUCAACGACUCAAAGUCAUGUACCCAUUGCAUUUUAUGAGUAAAUUAUACUUACUUUCCUUGAGAUUUUUAAUAAAUAUAGACAUUUUUCUUGUAGUUUUUUAAAAUUAUACUAAGAGUAUUUCUGU
rnacentral:lncRNA from 1 species